UACGGGGGGAGCAAGCGUUGUUCGGAUUUACUGGGCGUAAAGGGCGCGUAGGCGGCGUGACAAGUCACUUGUGAAAUCUCCGGGCUUAACUCGGAACUGCCAAGUGAUACUGUCGUGCUAGAGUGCAGAAGGGGCAAUCGGAAUUCUUGGUGUAGCGGUGAAAUGCGUAGAUAUCAAGAGGAACACCUGAGGUGAAGACGGGUUGCUGGGCUGACACUGACGCUGAGUGCGCGAAAGCUAGGGGAGCAAACGGG
rnacentral:rRNA from 1 species